CCUUUCUUUUCCUUUUUUCCCCGCUGUGCCUGAAUCUCCCGGGACACUUAGACGCCUGGAGCCUCCCGACCCCAGGGCGGGCGAUGGCAAAGUUAAACGCCAGCGCGCUGCGGUCCCCGGGCACCGAGGCGUCCGCGCUCCCGCCACCCACACAGGGCGCCAAGUGCCCCGACCCGCGAGUGACGAGGACGCACAGCCUGGAAGCCUCGCGGCCCUCCAGAUGGACUCGGAGCGCCCCUGGAGGCUACAGUGACCUGAGUUCUAGGAAGGCCGGGUCCUGGACGCCGCGUGCUGCUGUCCGCCGACCGGUGUCCUCGCAGAGAUAACCUGGCUGAAAUCACCGCCCAGCGCUGUCAGUUCUCCCUCAUGACAACCCAAAACUUGACCGGAUUUGUGUUCUGCAGAGAGGAAAAAAAAAAGCGGCCACAGGACACCAAUGCAGUAGCCAGGGUGGGCCUGUGGCUCUGGCUCCAGCCUCCAGGGACACCAGCCAGAGAGAAGGAAGCCAUGCAUGGAGAGCAGCCAAG
rnacentral:antisense_RNA from 1 species